rnacentral:rRNA from 1 species
CCUACGGGAGGCUGCAGUAGGGAAUCUUCCACAAUGGGCGCAAGCCUGAUGGAGCAACACCGCGUGAGUGAAGAAGGGUUUCGGCUCGUAAAGCUCUGUUGUCAGAGAAGAAAGUGCGUGAGUGUAACUGUUCACGCCGCGACGGUAUCCAACCCGAAAGUCACGGCUAACUACGUGCCAGCAGCCGCGGUAAUACGUAGGUGGCAAGCAUUAUCCGGAUUUAUUGGGGGUAAAGCGAGCGCAGGCGGUUGCUUAGGUCUGAUGUGAAUGCCUUCGGCUUAACCGAAGAAGUGCAUCGGAAACCGGGCGACUUGAGUGCAGAAGAGGACAGUGGAACUCCAUGUGUAGCGGUGGAAUGCGUAGAUAUAUGGAGGAACACCAGUGGCGAAGGCGGCUGUCUGGUCUGCAACUGACGCUGAGGCUCGAAAGCAUGGGGAGCGAACAGGAUUAGAUACCCUAGUAGUC